GAUGAAGAACGCAGCGAAAUGCGAUAAGUAAUGUGAAUUGCAGAAUUCAGUGAAUCAUCGAAUCUUUGAACGCACAUUGCGCCCCCUGGUAUUCCGGGGGGCAUGCCUGUUCGAGCGUCAUUUCACCACUCAAGCCUCGCUUGGUAUUGGGCAUUGCGGUCCGCCGCGCGCCUCAAAUCGACCGGCUGGGUCUUCUGUCCCCUAAGCGUUGUGGAAACUAUUCGCUAAAGGGUGUUCGGGAGGCUACGCCGUAAAACAACCCCAUUUCUAAGGUUGACCUCGGAUCAGGUAGGGAUACCCGCUGAACUUAAGCAUAUCAAUAAGCGGAGGA
rnacentral:misc_RNA from 1 species